rnacentral:rRNA from 1 species
AUUGAACGCUGGCGGCACGCCUUACACAUGCAAGUCGAACGGUAACAGGUCUUCGGAUGCUGACGAGUGGCGAACGGGUGAGUAAUACAUCGGAACGUGCCUAGUAGUGGGGGAUAACUACUAGAAAGAGUGGCUAAUACCGCAUGAGAUCUACGGAUGAAAGCAGGGGAUCGCAAGACCUUGUGCUACUAGAGCGGCCGAUGGCAGAUUAGGUAGUUGGUGGGAUAAAAGCUUACCAAGCCGACGAUCUGUAGCUGGUCUGAGAGGACGAUCAGCCACACUGGGACUGAGAAACGGCCCAGACUCCUACGGGAGGCAGCAGUGGGGAAUUUUGGACAAUGGGCGCAAGCCUGAUCCAGCAAUGCCGCGUGCAGGAUGAAGGCCUUCGGGUUGUAAACUGCUUUUGUACGGAACGAAAAGCCCCGGGUUAAUACCCUGGGGUCAUGACGGUACCGUAAGAAUAAGCACCGGCUAACUACGUGCCAGCCGCCGCGGUAA